UACAGAGGUCCCAAGCGUUGUUCGGAUUCACUGGGCGUAAAGGGUGCGUAGGUGGUGAGGUAAGUCGGAUGUGAAAGCUCGGAGCUCAACUCCGAAAUGGCAUUGGAAACUACCUUGCUCGAGGGUUGGAGGGGGGACUGGAAUGCUUGGUGUAGCAGUGAAAUGCGUAGAUAUGCGGAGGAACACCGAUGGCGAAGGCAAUCCCCUGGGCCUGCACUGACGCUCAUGCACGAAAGCGUGGGGAGCAAACAGG
rnacentral:rRNA from 1 species